rnacentral:rRNA from 1 species
GAGACCCACGCCAACAGUUGCCAGCAUGUCCUCCGGGAUGGUGGAGACACUGUUGGGACCGCCUCUGCUAAAGAGGAGGAAGGAAUGGGCAACGGUAGGUCAGCAUGCCCCGAAUUAUCCGGGCUACACGCGGGCUACAAUGGUCAGGACAAUGGGUAUCGACACCGAGAGGUGAAGGCAAUCUCUUAAACCUGUCCUUAGUUCGGAUUGUGGGCUGCAACUCGCCCACAUGAAGCUGGAAUCCGUAGUAAUCGCGUCUCAAAAUGGCGCGGUGAAUAU